ACGGCAGCAGAGUAAGAACCUCUGACUUCAGGUUGUCUGCUCCGACAGUUUUCACACUUUCUUUUUCUUUUUUACAUCUUUUUCUCUCUCCUGAAUCCCAAAGGCGAAUCCUGGACCAACAAAAGGCACUGGACAUGAGUCCUGGAGCAGCACAGGUAGUGAGUCCCGGAUCAGUGCACGGGCAGUGAGUCCCGGAGCAGCGUGCGAGCAGUGAGUCCUGGAGCAGUGUGGGGACGAAUUCGUACUCAAGAAUCUGUACGUACACAUCUUUGUACCUAAGAUAGUGCCAUGCGCCACUGAAAGCAUACUGUCCCGAUGCAUAAUGGCCUGGUACGGCAACUGCUCUGCCCAGGACCGUAAGAAGCUACAGAAGUGGUGUGCACAGGCCAGACCAUCAUGGAAGCCAACCUCCCAUCCAUGGGCUCCAUUUACACGUCUUGCUGCUGUGGAAAGGCUGCCAACAUCAUCAAAGACCCUUCGCACCCCGGUAAUGACCUCCUACAGCCUCUUCCAUCAGGCAGAAGAUACAGAAGCCUGAACACAUGCACCAGCACAUUCAGGAACAACUUCUUCCUGGCUAUUAUCAGACUAUUGAAUGGGCUCUAGCCUCAAAUAACGUAACCUGCAAUGUAACCUGUAUGCCUCUGAGUCUUUUUG